rnacentral:rRNA from 1 species
AAACCCCUGUGAACAUACCAAUUGUUGCCUCGGCGGAUCAGCCCGCUCCCGGUAAAACGGGACGGCCCGCCAGAGGACCCCUAAACUCUGUUUCUAUAUGUAACUUCUGAGUAAAACCAUAAAUAAAUCAAAACUUUCAACAACGGAUCUCUUGGUUCUGGCAUCGAUGAAGAACGCAGCAAAAUGCGAUAAGUAAUGUGAAUUGCAGAAUUCAGUGAAUCAUCGAAUCUUUGAACGCACAUUGCGCCCGCCAGUAUUCUGGCGGGCAUGCCUGUUCGAGCGUCAUUUCAACCCUCAAGCCCAGCUUGGUGUUGGGACUCGCGAGUCAAAUCGCGUUCCCCAAAUUGAUUGGCGGUCACGUCGAGCUUCCAUAGCGUAGUAGUAAAACCCUCGUUACUGGUAAUCGUCGCGGCCACGCCGUUAAACCCCAACUUCUGAAUGUUGACCUCGGAUCAGGUAGGAAUACCCGCUGAACUUAAGCAUAUCAUAA